GCCCGCUUGGCUCAGUGGUAGAGCGCAUCACUAGUAAUGAUGAAGUCGUCAGUUCGAUUCUGGCAGUGGGCA
rnacentral:tRNA from 1 species